AUUGAACGCUGGCGGCAGGCCUAACACAUGCAAGUCGAGCGGAUGAAGAGAGCUUGCUCUCUGAUUCAGCGGCGGACGGGUGAGUAAUGCCUAGGAAUCUGCCUGGUAGUGGGGGACAACGUUUCGAAAGGAACGCUAAUACCGCAUACGUCCUACGGGAGAAAGCAGGGGACCUUCGGGCCUUGCGCUAUCAGAUGAGCCUAGGUCGGAUUAGCUAGUAGGUGGGGUAAAGGCCCACCUAGGCGACGAUCUGUAACUGGUCUGAGAGGAUGAUCAGUCACACUGGAACGGAGACACGGUCCAGACUCCUACGGGAGGCAGCAGUGGGGAAUAUUGGACAAUGGGCGAAAGCCUGAUCCAGCCAUGCCGCGUGUGUGAAGAAGGUCUUCGGAUUGUAAAGCACUUUAAGUUGGGAGGAAGGGCAGUAAGCUAAUACCUUGCUGUUUUGACGUUACCAACAGAAUAAGCACCGGCUAACUCUGUGCCAGCCGCCGCCGUAACAC
rnacentral:rRNA from 1 species